UGGCUCAGUAACACGUGGAGAAUCUAACCUUUGGUGGAGGAUAAUCUCGAGAAACUGAGAAUAAUACUCCAUAAACAUAGGAUGCUGGAAUGCUUCUAUGUUGAAAGGCAACGCCAAAGGAUGACUCUGCGACCUAUCAGGCUGUAGUGAGUGUAAUGGACCCACUAACCUGCAACGGGUACGGGUGUUGGAAGACAUUGCCCGGAGAUGGACUCUGAGACAUGAGUCCAGGUUCUACGGAACGCAGCAGGCGCGAAAACUCCGCAAUGUACGAAAGUACGACGGGGGAAUUCUGAGUGCUUACGCCUUGCGUAGGCUGUUUUCUUGUCUAAAAAACAAGGAGAGUAAGGGCUGGGUAAGACGGGUGCCAUCUCGUGCAAUUCUGCACUUAUUGUGUUCGUUGCACGAAGCACAAGCCGCCGCGGUAAUACCCGCGGCCCGAGUGGUGCUCAUUAUUAUUGAGCCUAAAACGUCCGUAGCCGGUUUAAUAAAUUCUUGGGUAAAUCAUAUCGCUUAACGAUAUGAAUUCUGAGAACACUGCUAAACUCGGGAAUGAGAGAGGCCAGAGGUACUUUCAGGGUAGGGGUAAAAUCCCGUAAUCCUGAGAGGACCACCGGUGGCGAAGGCGUCUGGCUAGAACAUAUUCGACGGUAAGGGACGAAGCCCUGGGGCGCAAACGGGAUUAGAUACCCCGGUAGUCCAGGGUGUAAACGCUGUAGAUUUGGUGUUGGAAAUCCUACGGGGAUUCCCAGCGCCGGAGAGAAGUUGUUAAAUCUACUGCUUGGGGAGUACGGUCGCAAGACUGAAACUUAAAGGAAUUGGCGGGGGAGCACCGCAACGGGUGGAGCGUGCGGUUUAAUUGGAUUCACGCCGAGAAACUCACCGGGGGCGACCAUUAUAUGAAGGCCAAGCCAAUGACUUUGCCUAAUUUUUGGAGAGG
rnacentral:rRNA from 1 species